AGCGUUAUCCGGAUUUAUAGGGCGUAAAGCGCAUGCAGGUGGCUAGGUAAGUCGGGUGUGAAAGCCCCGGACUUAAUCCGGGGGAGGUCAUUCGAUACUGCUUGGCUUGAGAACGGGAGAGGGAAGUGGAAUUCUCGGUGUAGUGGUGAUAUGCGUAGAUAUCGAGAGGAACACCAGUGGCGAAGGCGGCUUCCUGGCCCGUUUCUGACACUAAGAUGCGAAAGCGUGGGUAGCAAACGGACUUAGAUACUCCGGUAGUCCACGCCGUAAACGAUGGGUACUAGGUGUAGGGGGUGUAAAACUCUCUGUGCCAUAGUUAACGCACUAAGUACCCCGCCUGGGGACUACGGUCGCAAGGCUAAAACUCAAAGGAAUUGGCGGGGGCCCGCACAAGCAGCGGAGCGUGUGGUUCAAUUCGAAGAUACACGAAGAACCUUACCUGGGCUUGACAUGUUGGUAGUAGUGAAGCGAAAGUGGAACGAUCCUUCGGGAAGCCAUCACAGGUGCUGCAUGGCUGUCGUCAGCUCGUGCCGUGAGGUGUUGGGUUAAGUCCUGUAACGAGCGCAACCCUUGCUGCCAGUUACAAGUGUCUGGCGGGACUGCCGGUGACAAACCGGAGGAAGGUGGGGAUGACGUCAAGUCAGCAUGGCCUUUAUGUCCAGGGCUACACACACGCUACAAUGGCCGUACAAUAGGUUGCCAAGCCGUGAGGCGGAGCUAAUCCUCAAAACCGGUCUCAGUUCGAAUUGCAGGCUGCAACCCGCCUGCAUGAAGUUGGAGU
rnacentral:rRNA from 1 species